rnacentral:rRNA from 1 species
AGACCCGAAACCCGGUGAUCUAGCCAUGGGCAGGUUGAAGGUUGGGUAACACUAACUGGAGGACCGAACCGACUAAUGUUGAAAAAUUAGCGGAUGACCUGUGGCUGGGGGUGAAAGGCCAAUCAAACCGGGAGAUAGCUGGUUCUCCCCGAAAGCUAUUUAGGUAGCGCCUCGUGAAUUCAUCUCCGGGGGUAGAGCACUGUUUCGGCUAGGGGGCCAUCCCGGCUUACCAACCCGAUGCAAACUGCGAAUACCGGAGAAUGUUAUCACGGGAGACACACGGCGGGUGCUAACGUCCGUCGUGAAGAGGGAAACAACCCA